UUGACAGGCCGGGAGGCUGAAGGCCGAUCCUCAUUGACAGAACAGGUAUAGCACAGGGCAGAAGCAUUGCUGGCUUCCCCACCCUGCCCUUCCAACCAGUGUCCUUUCUGCUGGGCAAGAAUCCCCUCCAAGACGGAAGGGGUGGUUCAGCCUCAGCUCCAUUCAGUCUUGGGAUUUC
rnacentral:sRNA from 1 species